UUGUUUGACCUCGGAUCAGGUAGGGAUACCCGCUGAACUUAAGCAUAU
rnacentral:rRNA from 1 species